CUCCAGGAUUCAAAUUAUAACAAUGGUUGAUUUCUAAAGGUCUCCUUUUUCUAAUAUAUGCACUCCAUCAAUAUUUCACGCACCACAGUUCAGCAUAUGUGCAAUUGAAAUGGCAUUCAAAUUUUAACAAUAUAAGCUUGAUUUCUAAAGGUCUCCUUUUUUUUGAUACACCCUAUAUAUACAUGGUUUCGCUAAGCACAUCGUGCAGUUAUCAGAGUGAGAAAAUAAUGUUCAUUCUUUUUACUAUAUGCAGUAGUCUUGUAUUUGAUGGCAAAUCUAGUAGAAUAGAUGAUUUCAUCUAUAGACUAAAUUUUGAUCUCAAGAAGAACAAAAUCCAUCACCACAGCUAGAAAGAGCAUGUUAAAAUUAGUAAAAUUGCAACGUUUGGCCGCGAAAUGUUGUAAAAUGAGGAAAAUAUAGCCCUGCGAAAUUUGCAAAUUUUGUAUUGUAUUACGCGCGAGAAAAUGCAUUUGCGCCGAAAGUGGUGCAUUUUCCCGUGCGUAAUUUGCCUACAUCAAAAUUUAGUCUAGCUGGAAUUGCCUAUUUCUCAUUCUGAUAACUAGUAAAAACACAAAACCACAUCUACUUCAAUGUGGGUAUCCUUAAAUGAGCACUAUUUUCCUGAGCAAAAGAUUAUGGGUUGGACCAUAGUAUGCAUGCCCCUGCUAUUGUACGUUGAUUUUGUAAGAAAUAGCCGCGCGCAAGACAGACUUAAUAUUCUGUUCUUUAGUACACAGUAGAUAGCUGGUCAUAAAGAUGAAAUCAAUUUGAAUCUGUUCUAACAAAGUUCAUCCAAACUU
rnacentral:lncRNA from 1 species